GGGGACUGUCUGUGUCUCUCUCCCCGUGGCUUUAUACUGGAGGGGACUGUGUGUCUCUCUCCCCGUGGCUUUAUACUGGAGGGGACUGUCUGUGUCUCUCUCCCCGUGGCUUUAUACUGGAGGGGACUGUCUGUGUCUCUCUCCCCGUGGCUUUAUACUGGAGGGGACUGUCUGUGUCUCUCUCCCCGUGGCUUUAUACUGGAGGGGACUGUCUGUGUCUCUCUCCCCGUGGCUUUAUACUGGAGGGGACUGUCUGUGUCUCUCUCCCCGUGGCUUUAUACUGGAGGGGAC